rnacentral:lncRNA from 1 species
CCUUUCUCCUGCUCUAGGCCCAGCGCCUUGGACGUGCACAGUAGAUCCCUCCCGGCUUCCCGGCUUCCCGUCUCGUCACCCUCUGCUCAGAACCUGAGGACGCAGCCAUGGAGCGGUCGGCCUUCAUGGAGCUGGAUGCUGGGAGCAGGCUGGUGAUGCAUCUCCGCGAGUGGCCAGCCCUGCUGGUCAGCAGCACGGGCUGGACAGAGUUUGAACAACUUACUCUUGAUGGACACAACCUUCCUUCUCUUGUCUGUGUGAUAACAGUUUACAUGAGCUGGUGAAACAUGAAGAAAAUGGCCUGGUCUUUGAGGACUCAGAGGAACUGGCAGCUCUGCAGAUGCUUUUCUCAAACUUUCCUGAUCCUGCAGGCAAGCUAAACCAGUUUUGGAAGAACCUGCGGGAGUCGCAGCAGCUCCGAUGGGAUGAGAGCUGGGUGCAGACUGUGCUCCCUUUGGUUAUGGACAUACAACUCCUGGGCCAGAGGCUAAAACCCCGGGACCCCUGCUGUCCUUCCCGCAGCUUCUUCUCGGAGUCUCAGGGCAAACCCUUUUGAGCAGCGCCUCCCAGUGGCCAGAAGCUGAAAUGACGGCAGUGGUGCCGCCUGGUGAAUGAAUUGGUUCUGUGACCCGG